UGCCAGCCGCCGCGGUAAUACGGAGGGUGCAAGCGUUAAUCGGAAUUACUGGGCGUAAAGCGCGCGUAGGCGGCGGUUUAAGUCAGAUGUGAAAGCCCUGGGCUCAACCUGGGAACUGCAUUUGAUACUGGGCCGCUAGAGUACGAGAGAGGGAGGUAGAAUUCCACGUGUAGCGGUGAAAUGCGUAGAUAUGUGGAGGAAUACCAGUGGCGAAGGCGGCCUCCUGGCUCGAUACUGACGCUGAGGUGCGAAAGCGUGGGGAGCAAACAGGAUUAGAUA
rnacentral:rRNA from 1 species